AGGGUUCGAUUCUGGCUCAGGACGAACGCUGGCGGCGUGCCUAACACAUGCAAGUCGAGCGGGGAUGAGGAAGAAGUUUUACUUUUGAGACAUCCUAGCGGCGGACGGGUGAGUAACGCGUGAGCAACCUGGCUCAAUCAGGGGGAUAACGCAUCGAAAGAUGUGCUAAUACCGCGUAAGACCACAGCGCCACAUGGCGCAGGGGUCAAAGGAGCAAUCCGGAUUGAGAUGGGCUCGCGUCCGAUUAGCUAGUUGGUGAGAUAACAGCCCACCAAGGCGACGAUCGGUAGCCGACCUGAGAGGGUGAUCGGCCACAUUGGAACUGAGAGACGGUCCAG
rnacentral:rRNA from 1 species